GGCUUGCGGGUCAAGAGUGGAUAGUUACAGCUUUGAAAUUCCAGCUUGCCGCGGAGGCGUGUGCGGCUGAGGUUUAAAUUGCCAAAGAAAGUGAGCAGUUUUGCUUCAGCAAAUCUUCGCAGAUGUCUCCCUUUUGACUUGAGCUAGGGCAGUGGUCAAGUAGACUGGCCGUGGCGAGACUGGCCUACUGCUGAGGUGAUUUGAGGGAGCGCGAGAGGGGUGCGCCAUGUUCGCCCCCGGCUCGGGCUGGGGAUUUGGCUGCCUUUGGCUCAGCCAGCUCCGAGUUGGGGCCCGCAGAGCUGCGGGGCGCUGGGCUUGUCGGGGUGGCCCGGCCUGGCGGUACAGCUCUUGUGGGGGAGAGCGCCAGCCCGGGUCGGAGCCCGCGGUCUCCCCGCCAGGCCUCGCAUGCCAGACUCUGAAGGAGUGGGCGUUGCUGGUGAGCCCGUUCGGUCUGCUGCGGGCGCGGCUUCCGUGCCAUUUGGCCGUGAGGCCCCUGGACCCCCUUACCUACCCGGACGGCGACCGCGUGCUGGUUGCGGUGAGAGCAGCGGAGGGCGGGGCUCGGGACCUGGCCGGCCUGCUGGUGAAGUACGACGAGGCGCUGAAGGAGGUAGCCAUCGUGUCUGACACCAUCGACCCUCAGGCGUCCGUGGAGGUGAACGCGCCCCUGAAGUUUGAUUUGGAUAUCAAGUCAUCAGGGUCUGGCUGUGUAAAAGUCCAAAAUAUUGAGUGUGACAAUUGCAAAAUUGAAACUGAGCAGGGGACUGGCAUCUUACAGUCUGUUAAGAGUCAAAAAUUACAUGUUCAGACAAAAGGAGGCAAAGUAAUCUGCCUGGGAACAGUUUAUGGAAAUACAGAUAUUCAUGCGUCAGAGAAAAGUACUGUGACCAUAGAUAAACUGCAAGGAAGUACUGUUAAUAUAUCUACUGAACAUGGUUUGCUGGAAGCCAAGUAUCUUUAUACAGAAUCAUCAUUUCUAUCUUCUGUUGCUGGAGAUAUUACAUUAGGAAGUAUUCAUGGUAAUAUAACAUUACAAAGCAAGAUGGGUAAUAUCACAAUAGAUUCAUCCUCUGGAUGUCUACAGGCCUCAACUCAUCAGGGUGCAAUAGAUGUUUAUGUCAGCCAACUAGGGAAAGUGGAGUUGAAAUCCCAUGAAGGCUCUAUUCUUGUCAAGGUCGCAUCUUCUCUUCAAGCUCAUUUACAGUUAUCAGGAAGAGAGGUUGAUGUGAACUCAGAAGUCCAUGUUCAAGAAAUGACUGAAGUUCAUAAAGACGAUGCUGUAAUAAUUACUGGGCUCACGAAUCAAGCAAGCAAACAUGAAAAAUGGAUUAAGGCUGAUGCACCAGAAGGCACUGUAAAUCUUAGAAGUCAAAGCUGGUUUCAGUCCCUAAAACUGCAGGACUGAGAAUGAUUUGAAUUGUAUUUAUAAUUUUUAGCAAUGAUUAGCAGAUCUGUGACUAUAAAAAUGCAAACACCACAGUUCAUAUAAAUGCUGAAAACAACAAAUUGGAAUGAAUACUGGUGAAUUGUCUUGUGGAGGCCUUUUCAAAAUUUGUAUUUAGCUAUUAUAUUUGUUUCCUAUUGCUCUGUAAUGAAAUUACCACAAACUUACCGUCUUAAAGUCACACUUACUUUUAGCUCACAGUUCUGUAGGUCAAGAGACCUGCAUGGCUAGGCUCUCUGCUCAGGGUGGACAGGGCUGGACUCGGCAUUACCCAGGCUGUGUUCUCAUCUAGAUGCUCUGGGCAGGGAAGUCUACUUUCAAGUCUGUUUAUAUUGGCAAGAUCCAGUUCCCUCUGACUAUUACUGAGGUCUCUGUUUUCUUGCUGUCCAUCAGUGAUCUCUCUAAGCUUGUACAGGCCAUUUGCAUUCCUUCUCAUGUGGCCCUCUCCAUCUUUAAGCCAGCAAUGAUGCAUUCGGAUGUUUCUGGUACUUUGUAUGUCUGACCUCUUCCGCAGCCAGCUGGAGUAACUGCUUUUAAAGGGCUUAACUUGAUUUGAUCAAGCCUGCCCAGAAUCAUCUUUGUUUUGCUGUAUAAUGUAACAUAAUUAUGGGAGUGCUAUCUCCUCAUAUUUAUAAUUUCUGUUUACACUCAGGAGAAAGAGAUUAUACAAAGGCAUAGGUAAUGGGGAGAAGUUGUCUUAGAAUGUCUUGCACCACAGCUCUCAUAACAUGUUUGCUACUUAGAACCUCUUAUGACAGUGUAAAUUUAAGCUGUGAAUAAAAACAUCUAAAAUAGGGGCCCCUGGGUGG